GCGGAUGGCCGGGUGACCGCGUGAGGUUUUGCCUUGCGAGGAAAGUCCGGACUUCAAGAAGCAACGGUGCCGGGUAACGCCCGGCCGGGGAAACCCGAGGGAAAGCGCCACAGAGAACAGACGGCCUUGCAUGCAGGGUCACGGUGAAACGGUGGGGUAAAAGCCCACCGCGGGACUGGCAACAGGACCGGCACGGCAAGCCCCACCGGAAGCAAUGCCAAAUAGGGGUCUCGCGCGGAGCGAUCCGCAGGGCAGCUUCAGUCCAGAGACCCGGGUUGGCAGCUUGAUCCCGCCGGCGACGGCGGGGCCAGAGGAAUGGUCAUCACCCCGUCGGGGGACAGAAUCCGGCUUACAGGCCAUCCGCGCGA
rnacentral:RNase_P_RNA from 2 species